rnacentral:rRNA from 1 species
CAUAGCGACUAUCGUGGCAUAUCAAUAAGCGGAGGAAAAGAAACUAACAAGGAUUCCCCUAGUAACGGCGAGUGAAGCGGGAAGAGCUCAAAUUUGAAAUCUUAAAGGGUUUCCCUUUACGAAUUGUAGUUUAAAGAAGUGUUUUCUGUUGGAGUUUCGGUAAAAGUUCUUUGGAAUAGGACAUCAUAGAGGGUGAGAAUCCCGUAUUUGACCGUUACUUUCCAGCUGUGUGAUACACCUUCAAAGAGUCGGAUUGUUUGGGAAUGCAGUCCAAAAUGGGUGGUAAAUUUCAUCUAAAGCUAAAUAUUGGCGAGAGACCGAUAGCGAACAAGUACCGUGAGGGAAAGAUGAAAAGAACUUUGAAAAGAGAGUUAAACAGUACGUGAAAUUGUCAAAAGGGAAGCGUUUGACACCAGUGUUGUUUAGUUGAAAAUCAAUUCAAUAAUUUUUGAUUUUGAGUAGUAUUGACUUCAUCAGCUUGCUGCUUUCUUUUCGAAAUUAUUGAAUGCACUUUUCAGUUAACAAGUCAACAUCAAUUUCUUUUGUUGUAAAAGGGUAAGAGGAAGGUGGCUUACGCUUCGGCGUAAGUGUUUAUAGCCUUUUACCUCUGCAAUCGGAGAGAUUGAGGACAGCAGCGUAGACUCUUCGGGGUUAGAUACACUUGUGCUAAGCUAUAGCCUUGUAUAGACAACUUGUUGACUAUGCUCAGUCAUGUAGCUUACUCGCUUGUGCUAUUUUACCUACGCUUAGGAUGUUGAUAUGCAUGACUGAUAU